rnacentral:pre_miRNA from 2 species
UCUUAUGCAUAAGCAAGGAAAAUGGUUUCUUGAGAUAGAAGCUACUUUUGGUGAAGAGCCUGUGAA